GGGCGUAUGGUCUAGUGGUAUGAUUUCUGUUUUGCAAACACCCGGAAUAUCUGGGACAAGCUCAUACAGACGGUCCCGCGUUCGAUCCGCGGUACGUCCA